rnacentral:rRNA from 1 species
GACGAACGCUGGCGGCGUGCCUAAUACAUGCAAGUUGAGCGCUGAAGGUUGGUACUUGUACCGACUGGAUGAGCAGCGAACGGGUGAGUAACGCGUGGGGAAUCUGCCUUUGAGCGGGGGACAACAUUUGGAAACGAAUGCUAAUACCGCAUAAAAACUUUAAACACAAGUUUUAAGUUUGAAAGAUGCAAUUGCAUCACUCAAAGAUGAUCCCGCGUUGUAUUAGCUAGUUGGUGAGGUAAAGGCUCACCAAGGCGAUGAUACAUAGCCGACCUGAGAGGGUGAUCGGCCACAUUGGGACUGAGACACGGCCCAAACUCCUACGGGAGGCAGCAGUAGGGAAUCUUCGGCAAUGGACGAAAGUCUGACCGAGCAACGCCGCGUGAGUGAAGAAGGUUUUCGGAUCGUAAAACUCUGUUAGUAGAGAAGAACGUUGGUGAGAGUGGAAAGCUCAUCAAGUGACGGUAACUACCCAGAAAGGGACGGCUAACUACGUG